rnacentral:rRNA from 1 species
GACGAACGCUGGCGGCGUGCUUAACACAUGCAAGUCGAACGAUGAACUUGGAGCUUGCUCUGGGGGAUUAGUGGCGAACGGGUGAGUAACACGUGAGUAACCUGCCCUGGACUCUGGGAUAACUUCGAGAAAUCGGAGCUAAUACCGGAUAGGACCUUGCACCGCAUGGUGUGGGGUGGAAAGUUUUUCGGUUUGGGAUGGACUCGCGGCCUAUCAGCUUGUUGGUGAGGUAAUGGCUCACCAAGGCGUCGACGGGUAGCCGGCCUGAGAGGGUGGCCGGCCACACUGGGACUGAGACACGGCCCAGACUCCUACGGGAGGCAGCAGUGGGGAAUAUUGCACAAUGGGCGCAAGCCUGAUGCAGCAACGCCGCGUGCGGGAUGACGGCCUUCGGGUUGUAAACCGCUUUUAGUAGGGAAGAAGGGGCUUCGGCCUUGACGGUACUUGCAGAAAAAGGACCGGCUAACUACGUGCCAGCCGCCGCCGUAAUAC